rnacentral:rRNA from 1 species
AGUGAACGCUGGCGGUAGGCCUAACACAUGCAAGUCGAACGGCAGCACAGUAAGAGCUUGCUCUUACGGGUGGCGAGUGGCGGACGGGUGAGGAAUACAUCGGAAUCUACUUUUUCGUGGGGGAUAACGUAGGGAAACUUACGCUAAUACCGCAUACGACCUACGGGUGAAAGCAGGGGAUCUUCGGACCUUGCGCGAUUGAAUGAGCCGAUGUCGGAUUAGCUAGUUGGCGGGGUAAAGGCCCACCAAGGCGACGAUCCGUAGCUGGUCUGAGAGGAUGGUCAGCCACACGGGAACUGAGACACGGUCCAGACUCCUACGGGAGGCAGCAGUGGGGAAUAUUGGACAAUGGGGGCAAGCCUGAUCCAGCCAUACCGCGUGGGUGAAGAAGGCCUUCGGGUUGUAAAGCCCUUUUGUUGGGAAAGAAAAGCAGCAGGUUAAUACCCCGCUGUUCUGACGGUACCCAAAGAAUAAGCACCGGCUAACUUCGUG